AUGGCACUGAAAGCAAAGAAGGAAGCUCCUGCCCCUCCUAAAGCUGAAGCGAUGCAAAGGUUUUGAAGGCCAAGAAGGCAGUGUAGAAAGGUGUCCACUGCCAUGAAAAAAAGAAUAUCCAUACAUCACCCACCUUCCGGUGGCCCAAGAUACUGAGACUCUGGAGAGCACCCCCAGGAGAAACAAGCUUGACCACUAUGCUAUCAUCAAGCUUCCACUGACCACUGAGUAUGCCAUGAAGAAGAUAGAAGACGACAACAACACACUUGUGUUCAUUGUAGAUGUUAAAACCAACAAGCACCAGAUCAAACAGGUUGUGAAGAAGCUCUAUGAUGUUUAUGUGGCCAAGGUUCAACACCCUGAUUAGGCCUGAUGGAGAGAAGAAGGCAUAUGUUCGACUGGCUCCUGAUUACCAUGUCUUGGAUGUUGCCAACAAAAUUGGGAUCAUCUAA
rnacentral:lncRNA from 1 species